AUGAUUAGAGAGUUCUGGCAGGGAGAGGAGGACGACCAUAGGAAGAUGCAUUGGAUGUCCUGGGAGAAAAUGACUAAACCCAAAAGAGGUGGUGGUAUUGGGUUCAGAGACAUGCAUCUCUUUAACCAAGCUUUGCUUGCAAAACAGGGAUGGAGACUCAUCCAAAACCCGGACAACUUAUGUGCGAGAGUCCUAAAAGCAAAGUACUACCCGAACGGGAGCAUCCUGGAUACAAUUUUUGCAUCGGACGCAUCCCCUGUCUGGAAAGCUAUUGAGUUCGGG
rnacentral:rRNA from 1 species